UGGGCCAAGCUGUGCAAAUACAGAAAAGGGGCCUCCAUUAUCCAAAGUACUCAGCUGUGGGAGUUUCUGACCUCACAGUAAAAACAGGUUCCCCUUCCAAACACUGUAUUUGAGCUCAGGUGCCCCGCCUCAGUGCUGUGUGAAGCACUUUCAAUAGUGCACCCAGAUUCUCAGUUUGCAGAAUGUUUCAUACCCACUGGGUGUAUCAGCAGGCACUGGGAUGCAAGGAUGAGGCCUGCGUGGUUCUUACUCUCCAGCUGCUCACAAACAAAGCAAUAGCCUACCACCAGUAUCAAGUUUAUGUGCACCAGUUCCCAGGCGUCUGUACUUCCUGUCAUUUACAGGCGGACCACUCUAGGGCUCUGAGCAGGUACAUUCUGAAUCACCAGUCACCCGCAGCAAAGAAGGUAGACCUUGGGCCAAUGGUAAAGCUGAGAUGCAAAUACAGGAUUCCUGUAUUUACAUGAGUGAAAGGCUGUACAGCUGAUGGAAUCAGGCUCUCCAUCUGAAGGGAAACACUGAGAGCAUGCUGUGCAUCCCCAUCCUCUGCAUUUGCAAGAGCACUCUAGAGCCGUCCCCUGAAAGACAGAAGAACCUCUGACUACUCUGUGCAUGCCCACUGGCUGCAGACCACAGGGUGCAGGGUGGGGGUCACGAUUUCCCUCUGAUGCUCUGACUGCCCUUCCACAUUUUUGAACAGAUUGUAACUAUGGAAAUAAAGUUCUUAAUGAAUACGUCUCACAGUGGCAUUUCCCAACCAGUAACCAGGAGCUCUCUCGUCCAGGGAAAGAAGUUGGCUCCCCUUUUGUAACUUGUGAGGACUGACCAAGCACGCAUCACCACGUACACCCAGAGGAAGAAGGGAAGGGACAGCUUGUUCAAGCCAUUGCUGGUCAGUACCAAGCACAGUUUGCUCUGGCCAUAGUGUGCUGAGAUCUCACGCUUCUUUCUGGAAAAAUACAGUGGAAAUGCCUCGCAUGAGCAAGACACUGAGCUCAGCCUCCCAGCACAGGGAGGCAAACA